CUANNUGCGAUAAGCGACGGGGAGGUGCGAACAACCUUUGAUCCGUCGAUCUCUGAAUGGGGGAACCCACUGCACACUGCAGUAUCCUGUUCUGAAUACAUAGGACCAGGAAGCAAACCCGGCGAAUUGAAACAUCUAAGUAGCCGGAGGAAA
rnacentral:rRNA from 1 species